GACGAACGCUGGCGGCGUGCUUAACACAUGCAAGUCGAACGGAAAGGCCCUGCUUUUGUGGGGUGCUCGAGUGGCGAACGGGUGAGUAACACGUGAGUAACCUGCCCUUGACUUUGGGAUAACUUCAGGAAACUGGGGCUAAUACCAGAUAGGAGCUCCUGCUGCAUGGUGGGGGUUGGAAAGUUUCGGCGGUUGGGGAUGGACUCGCGGCUUAUCAGCUUGUUGGUGGGGUAGUGGCUUACCAAGGCUUUGACGGGUAGCCGGCCUGAGAGGGUGACCGGCCACAUUGGGACUGAGAUACGGCCCAGACUCCUACGGGAGGCAGCAGUGGGGAAUAUUGCACAAUGGGCGGAAGCCUGAUGCAGCAACGCCGCGUGCGGGAUGACGGCCUUCGGGUUGUAAACCGCUUUCGCCCGUGACGAAGCGUGAGUGACGGUAAUGGGUAAAGAAGCACCGGCUAACUACGUGCCAGCAGCCGCGGUGAUACGUAGGGUGCGAGCGUUGUCCGGAUUUAUUGGGCGUAAAGGGCUCGUAGGUGGUUGAUCGCGUCGGAAGUGUAAUCUUGGGGCUUAACCCUGAGCGUGCUUUCGAUACGGGUUGACUUGAGGAAUUUAGGGGAGAAUGGAAUUCCUGGUGGAGCGGUGGAAUGCGCAGAUAUCAGGAGGAACACCAGUGGCGAAGGCGGUUCUCUGGGCCUUUCCUGACGCUGAGGAGCGAAAGCGUGGGGAGCGAACAGGCUUAGAUACCCUGGUAGUCCACGCUGUAAACGGUGGGUACUAGGUGUGGGGUCCAUUCCACGGGUUCCGUGCCGUAGCUAACGCUUUAAGUACCCCGCCUGGGGAGUACGGCCGCAAGGCUAAAACUCAAAGGAAUUGACGGGGCCCCGCACAAGCGGCGGAGCAUGCGGAUUAAUUCGAUGCAACGCGUAGAACCUUACCUGGGUUUGACAUGGAUCGGGAGUGCUCAGAGAUGGGUGUGCCUCUUUUGGGGUCGGUUCACAGGUGGUGCAUGGCUGUCGUCAGCUCGUGUCGUGAGAUGUUGGGUUAAGUCCCGCAACGAGCGCAACCCUUGUUCACUGUUGCCAGCACGUUAUGGUGGGGACUCAGUGGAGACCGCCGGGGUCAACUCGGAGGAAGGUGGGGAUGACGUCAAGUCAUCAUGCCCCUUAUGUCCAGGGCUUCACGCAUGCUACAAUGGCUGGUACAGAGAGUGGCGAGCCUGUGAGGGUGAGCGAAUCUCGGAAAGCCGGUCUCAGUUCGGAUUGGGGUCUGCAACUCGACCUCAUGAAGUCGGAGUCGCUAGUAAUCGCAGAUCAGCAACGCUGCGGUGAAUACGUUCCCGGG
rnacentral:rRNA from 1 species